AUUGAACGCUAACGGCGUGCUUAACACAUGCAAGUCGAGCGGCAGCACAGUAGUAGCAAUACUAUGGGUGGUGAGCGGCGGACGGGUGAGUAAUGCAUAGGAAUCUGCCUUGUAGUGGGGGAUAACCCGGGGAAACUCGGGCUAAUACCGCAUAAUCUCUACGGAGCAAAGUGGGGGACCGUAAGGCCUCACGCUAAAAGAUGAGCCUAUGUUGGAUUAGGUAGUUGGUAGGGUAAAGGCCUACCAAGGCAACGAUCCAUAGCUGGUCUGAGAGGAUGAUCAGACACACUGGGACUGAGACACUGGCCAGACUGCUACGGGAGGCAGCAGUGAGGAAUAUUGGACAAUGGGCGAUAGCCUGAUCCAGCAACGCCGUGUGUGUGAAGAAGGCCUUCGGGUUGAAAAUCACUUUUAGUUGGGAAGAAAAACUCAAGGUUAAUUCCGUUGGGUAAUGACGUUGCCAACAGAAAAAGCACUGGCUAACUCUUUGCCAGCCGCCGCUGUAA
rnacentral:rRNA from 1 species